rnacentral:rRNA from 1 species
ACUCAAAUGAAUAGACGGGGACUUGCACAAGCAGUGGAUUAUGUGGCUUAAUUCGAUGAUAAACGAAGAACCUUACCCGGGUUUGAAACCUACGUGAAAGCUUUAGGAAACUUUAGCCCUCGCAAGACUAGUAGGCAGGUGAUGCAUGGCCGUCGUCAGUUCGUGGUUUGAAUUGUUCCCUUAAGUGGGGUAACGAACGCAACCCUUAUUGCCUGUUACAAGUGUCAGGCGAGACUGCCCAGAUUUUUGAAUGCAAGCGGCAAUCUAUUUAUUUAGAUUUUUGCUUGUUAGCAAAAAUCUGGGAGGAAGGCGAGGAUGACGCCAGGUCAGCAUGUCCCUCUGACAUCCGGGGCUGCACACAUAAUACAAUGGGCGUUACAACGUGACGCGAUGCCGUAAGGCGGAGCCAACCAUAAUAAAAGCGCCCUAAGUUCGGAUUGAGGUCUGCAACUCGACCUCAUGAAGUUGGAAUUGCUAGUAAUCGCGGGUCAGCCAUACCGCGGUGAAUACGUUCUCAAGUCUUGUACACACCGCCCGU